GUCCACGCCCUAAACGAUGUCUACUAGUUGUUGGGUCUUAAUUGACUUGGUAACGCAGCUAACGCGAGAAGUAGACCGCCUGGGGAGUACGGUCGCAAGAUUAAAACUCAAAGGAAUUGACGGGGACCCGCACAAGCGGUGGAUGAUGUGGAUUAAUUCGAUGCUACGCGAAAACCUUAACCUACCCUUGACAUGGAAGGAAUCCCUGAGAGAUCAGGGAGUGCUCGAAAGAGAACAUUUACACAGGUGCUGCAUGGCUGUCGU
rnacentral:rRNA from 1 species